rnacentral:rRNA from 1 species
CAGAGGACAGUGGCGGACGGGUGAGUAACGCGUGAGGAACCUGCCUUGGAGAGGGGAAUAACACAGAGAAAUUUGUGCUAAUACCGCAUGAUGCAGUUGGGUCGCAUGGCUCUGACUGCCAAAGAUUUAUCGCUCUGAGAUGGCCUCGCGUCUGAUUAGCUAGUUGGUAGGGUAACGGCUUACCAAGGCGACGAUCAGUAGCCGGACUGAGAGGUUGACCGGCCACAUUGGGACUGAGACACGGCCCAGACUCC